GCGGCAAGACGGAAAGACCCCGUGAACCUUUACUAUAGCUUGACACUGAACAUUGAGCCUUGAUGUGUAGGAUAGGUGGGAGGCUUUGAAGUGUGGACGCCAGUCUGCAUGGAGCCGGCCUUGAAAUACCACCCUUUAAUGUUUGAUGUUCUAACGUGGACCCGUGAUCCGGGUUGCGGACAGUGUCUGGUGGGUAGUUUGACUGGGGCGGUCUCCUCCUAAAGAGUAACGGAGGAGCACGAAGGUUGGCUAAUCCUGGUCGGACAUCAGGAGGUUAGUGCAAUGGCAUAAGCCAGCUUGACUGCGAGCGUGACGGCGCGAGCAGGUGCGAAAGCAGGUCAUAGUGAUCCGGUGGUUCUGAAUGGAAGGGCCAUCGCUCAACGGAUAAAAGGUACUCCGGGGAUAACAGGCUGAUACCGCCCAAGAGUUCAUAUCGACGGCGGUGUUUGGCACCUCGAUGUCGGCUCAUCACAUCCUGGGGCUGAAGUAGGUCCCAAGGGUAUGGCUGUUCGCCAUUUAAAGUGGUACGCGAGCUGGGUUUAGAACGUCGUGAGACAGUUCGGUCCCUAUCUGCCGUGGGCGCUGGAGAACUGAGGGGGGCUGCUCCUAGUACGAGAGGACCGGAGUGGACGCAUCACUGGUGUUCGGGUUGUCAUGCCAAUGGCACUGCCCGGUAGCUAAAUGCGGAAGAGAUAAGUGCUGAAAGCAUCUAAGCACGAAACUUGCCCCGAGAUGAGUUCUCCCUGACCCUUUAAGGGUCCUGAAGGAACGUUGAAGACGACGACGUUGAUAGGCCGGGUGUGUAAGCGCAGCGAUGCGUUGAGCUAACCGGUACUAAUGAACCGUGAGG
rnacentral:rRNA from 1 species